GGUUAAAUUUGAAUUUCAGAUGAACAACAAUAUUUUAGUAUGUGUGUGCCCCAUGCAACAUUUGGGACCUACUUACGCUAAAAAAAUUAUUCAUUGUGUAGCUGAAAUUCAAAUUUAACUGGGUAUCCUGUGUUGU
rnacentral:miRNA from 1 species